GAUGAACGCUAGCGGGUGGCCUAACACAUGCAAGCCGAGCGGUAGAGAUUCUUCGGAAUCUUGAGAGCGGCGUACGGGUGCGGAACACGUGUGCAACCUGCCUUUAUCAGGGGGAUAGCCUUUCGAAAGGAAGAUUAAUACCCCAUAAUAUAUUUGAUGGCAUCAUUAGAUAUUGAAAGCUUUGGCGGAUAGAGAUGGGCACGCGCAAGAUUAGAUAGUUGGUGAGGUAACGGCUCACCAAGUCGAUGAUCUUUAGGGGGCCUGAGAGGGUGAGCCCCCACACUGGUACUGAGACACGGACCAGACUCCUACGGGAGGCAGCAGUGAGGAAUAUUGGACAAUGGGUUAGCGCCUGAUCCAGCCAUCCCGCGUGAAGGACGACGGCCCUAUGGGUUGUAAACUUCUUUUGUACAGGGAUAAACCUACUCUCGUGAGAGUAGCUGAAGGUACUGUACGAAUAAGCACCGGCUAACUCCGUG
rnacentral:rRNA from 1 species